CCCUGGUAGUCCACGCAGUAAACGAUGCUCACUCGCUGUUGGCAAUACACCGUCAGCGGCUAAGGGAAACCGAUAAGUGAGCCACCUGGGGAGUACGAUCGCAAGAUUGAAACUCAAAGGAAUUGACGGGGGCCCGCACAAGCGGUGGAACAUGUGGUUUAAUUCGAUGAUACGCGAGGAACCUUACCUGGGCUUAAAUGUGAAGUGCAUUGUUUGGAAACAGACAUUUCCUUCGGGACUCUUUACAAGGUGCUGCAUGGUUGUCGUCAGCUCGUGCCGUGAGGUGUCGGGUUAAGUCCCAUAACGAGCGCAACCCCUAUUGUUAGUUACCAGCGCGUCAAGGCGGGGACUCUAACGAGACUGCCGGUGUAAACCGCGAGGAAGGUGGGGAUGACGUCAAAUCAGCACGGCCCUUAUGUCCAGGGCUACACACGUGUUACAAUGGUCGGUACAGAGGGCAGCUAGGCAGCGAUGUCAAGCGAAUCUCGAAAGCCGAUCCCAGUUCGGAUUGGAGUCUGCAACCCGACUCCAUGAAGGUGGAAUCGCUAGUAAUCGCGCAUCAGCCAUGGCGCGCUGAAUACGUUCCCGGGCAUUGUACACACCGCCCGUCAAGCCAUGGAAGUCUGGGGUGCCUGAAGGCCGUAACCGCAAGGAGCGU
rnacentral:rRNA from 1 species